rnacentral:rRNA from 1 species
UUGGAGGGCAAGUCUGGUGCCAGCAGCCGCGGUAAUUCCAGCUCCAAUAGCGUAUAUUAAAGUUGUUGCAGUUAAAAAGCUCGUAGUUGAAUUUCGGAACCCAUCCGUCGGUCGGGCUUCACGGUCCGCACUGGUGUGAUGGAUUCCUACCUUCUGAAUAACCAGCAUGCUACUAAUUUGGUGCGUUGGGGAAGCAGGACUGUUACCUUGAAAAAAUUAGAGUGCUUAAAGCAGGCUAGUGCCUGAAUACAUUAGCAUGGAAUAAUGAAAUAGGACGGCAUGGUUCUAUUUUGUUGGUUUCUAGGAUCACCGUAAUGAUUAAUAGGGAUAGUUGGGGGCAUUAGUAUUCAAUUGUCAGAGGUGAAAUUCUUGGAUUUAUUGAAGACUAACUUCUGCGAAAGCAUUUGCCAAGGAUGUUUUCAUUAAUCAAGAACGAAAGUUAGGGGAUCGAAGACGAUCAGAUACCGUCGUAGUCUUAACCAUAAACUAUGCCGACUAGGGAUCGGACGAUGUUGAUUUUUUAAUGACUCGUUCGGCGCCUUACGGGAAAC